rnacentral:rRNA from 1 species
AUUGAACGCUGGCGGCAGGCCUAACACAUGCAAGUCGAACGGUAACAGGAAGCAGCUUGCUGCUUCGCUGACGAGUGGCGGACGGGUGAGUAAUGUCUGGGAAACUGCCUGAUGGAGGGGGAUAACUACUGGAAACGGUAGCUAAUACCGCAUAACGUCGCAAGACCAAAGAGGGGGACCUUAGGGCCUCUUGCCAUCGGAUGUGCCCAGAUGGGAUUAGCUAGUAGGUGGGGUAACGGCUCACCUAGGCGACGAUCCCUAGCUGGUCUGAGAGGAUGACCAGCCACACUGGAACUGAGACACGGUCCAGACUCCUACGGGAGGCAGCAGUGGGGAAUAUUGCACAAUGGGCGCAAGCCUGAUGCAGCCAUGCCGCGUGUAUGAAGAAGGCCUUCGGGUUGUAAAGUACUUUCAGCGGGGAGGAAGGGAGUAAAGUUAAUACCUUGGCUCAUUGACGUUACCCACAGAAGAAGCACCGGCUAACUCCGUG